ensembl:lncRNA
CAUGGAGUCCUGCACAUCUCCCCGGGGUUGGUGGGCUGCUAUGUGCCUAUUCUCCAAUGAUGCAUAGAGAGGAGGGAAACAAUGGGCAGGCAUCGGACAUGAGGUCUGACUGCCAGGAAACACAAAGCAGACAGGACAAAAGACACAGCAGUGACAGCACCCACCCACAGCAUCCUAAAACUGAUGCCUCUUACUCCUGCUCACCCCACCUACUGUGUUUUGAAUCCAAAAUGUCCCCAAGUCCAUGAUCUCAAUGUUUGACCUCAGUGGGUGACACUAUUUUGAACCCUUAGGAAAUGAGGCCUAGCUGGCUGAGGUAGAGCAAUAGGGUAGGCCUUUGAUGGUUCUAGCUCAGCCUCUGAGGCCAGCAUUCUCUGCUUCAAACUACUGCCACCACAAAUGGAGUCUUGCCACCAUGCCUUCACAGGUGAGACUGAAACCGGAGUGAACCGGAAUUAACUGGAAUGAACCAGAAUGAACUGGAAUGAACCGGAAUGAACAGGAACGAAGACGCUAACAGUGACAUAAUUAUGAUGAGCACACCUCUUUUUGUGGCAGAUGCAAGUUCCCAGAGAGCAGCUACGAAUGCCUCCAAGAGAGCAGCUACAGCCAGAGGUGGGGCGAACACGGAGUUGACUGUGGAUGCUUUAAAGCAAUUCUUCAAUUUUUAGUCCAGAAGACUACAGAGUCCUUCAAACAUUAGAGAUAAAAGGCCCUUCUAGAACCAUCCAGCAGAGCAACCACAUUCUGAAGACAAGGAUUUGGACUCCCAGGAAAAAACAUCUACUGCCCAUAGUUACCAAGUUAGGAUUAGAGAUGAAACUCCUUGGUGUUCUAAUCCCCAGUCUGCUUUCCUCCAUCGCUAAGUGUC